rnacentral:rRNA from 1 species
GGUGAACGCUGGCGGUAGGCCUAACACAUGCAAGUCGAACGGCAGCACAGUAAGAGCUUGCUCUUACGGUUAGCGAGUGGCGGGCGGGUGAGGAAUACAUCGGCAUCUUCUUUUUCGUGGAGGAUAACGUGGGGACACUUCCGCUAAUACCGCAUACGAUCUACGGCUUGCAUCAAGAGAGCUUGGGACCUUGCCCGUUACAAUGAGCCCGUGCUGCAUUAGCUAGUUGGUGUGGUAAGGGCCUACCAAGGCAACGAUGCAUAGCCGACCUGAGAGGAUGAUCAGCCACACUGGAACUGAGACACGGUCCAGACUCCUACGGGAGGCAGCAGUAGGGAAUCUUCGGCAAUGGGCGAAAGCCUGACGGAGCAAUGCCGCGUGAGUGAUGAAGGUCUUCGGAUCGUAAAGCUCUGUUAUUAGGGAAGAACAUAUGUGGAAGUAACUGUGGACAUCUUGACGGUACCUAAUCAGAAAGCCACGGCUAACUACGUG